rnacentral:tRNA from 1 species
GAGAACAUAGCUCAAUUGGUUAGAGUAUUGGCUUGUCACGCCAGAGGUCGCGGGUUCGAGUCCCGUUGUUCUCG